rnacentral:rRNA from 1 species
UACGUAGGGACCAAGCGUUGUCCGGAAUCAUUGGGCGUAAAGAGCGUGUAGGCGGCUUGUUAAGUCUUGUGUGAAAUCUCGGGGCUCAACCCCGAGCGGUCAUGAGAAACUGGCAACUAGAGUGCGGUAGGGGAGAUUGGAAUUCCUGGUGUAGCGGUGGAAUGCGCAGAUAUCAAGAGGAACACCUGCGGCGAAGGCGGGUUGCUGGGCUGACACUGACGCUGAGGCGCGAAAGCUAGGGGAGCGAACGGG